CCAGACUCCUACGGGAGGCAGCAGUGGGGGAUAUUGCACAAUGGGGGGAACCCUGAUGCAGCGACGCCGCGUGGGUGAAGAAGCGCCUCGGCGCGUAAAGCCCUAUCGGCAGGGAAGAAGGAGGACGGUACCUGACUAAGAAGCCCCGGCUAACUACGUGCCAGCAGCCGCGGUAAUACGUAGGGGGCAAGCGUUAUCCGGAUUUACUGGGUGUAAAGGGGGCGCAGACGGCAGCGCAAGCCAGGAGUGAAAGCCCGGGGCCCAACCCCGGGACUGCGCUUGGAACUGCGCGGCUGGAGUGCAGGAGGGGCAGGCGGAAUUCCUGGUGUAGCGGUGAAAUGCGUAGAUAUCAGGAGGAACACCGGUGGCGAAGGCGGCCUGCUGGACUGCGACUGACGUUGAGGCCCGAAAGCGUGGGGAGCAAACAGGAUUAGAUACCCUCGUAAC
rnacentral:rRNA from 1 species